GUUUGUAGUCUCUCAGGAUAUUUUAGAAUUAUACAUCAUAUUUAUGAAUUGUGAUGUGUACUAGCACAUAAUGGUAGAUUGCAGCAUCUUUGUUAGUUGUUGCUCACACAGGGCUCCCUCAGAGACCUAUGGGAACCAGGUACAAGCUCUCAGGAAUGAGUUAACUUGGAUUGAACUCGUUCAUGCUUAAGAAAGAAGAUGGACUGUGGUGUCUACAGCUGCUUCACUGCACUGCAGGUCAAGUUUUAAGAAGACAUAGAAGCCAGGAAACGUUCAUCUGGCUAGAUCCCUAACUUUUCCAGCACUUAAGCUCUGUGCUGUGAAUAGUCUUAUUGAUUUCAGUGGGAUUAUUUAUAGUACAUAAAGUUAAAUCAUGGGUGAGCUUUGCAGGAUUGAGAUCCGCAGAGACAACUGGCAGAUUUAAAGCAUGUCGUUCCAAAAUGCAUUGAGGAAUUCUCUGUUUUGCUCUAAGUGUGCUUUAUUACACAAAACUAAUCUCCUAGUUACAACUAAUCUCUUGGAGCCUGAUUCCAUUCAUCCUUAUUUCAGCUUUUUACAGAAUACGUCCACUGUAUAAAUUGGAUUAGUCCUCCCCAAAACUGUGGAGUUACAGCUGUUUACAGUGACUGGGGAUCUGGCCCAUAAACUUAACUGGAAAGCUUUCUGCUGCACAACAGUAUAAUUAGACUGAAAGACUUAUUUUCAAGGGUUGUUACUACCUGAAAAUGAAUGCUCACCAGAGCAUCAUUAGCAAAAUAGCGAAGUUACUUCCUGAGGAUGCUAAAAAUCCAAG
rnacentral:lncRNA from 1 species